CCCUAGAGUACAUCUGAGGUCCACUAUUUGAGAAAUGCUGUCUGAAAGAGUGAAGUCAGUCUAUGAAAACAUCUCUCAAAUGUGAGUCAUCUCUGCAGUUGAGAGCCUGGCUUGGUAGCUGGGCUGGGCUUCCUUCUCAUCAGAGCUUAGUGAACUCAGACAUCACUGUUGGACUCCUUGAAAAGAGAUGAGGACAGAAGGUGCCUGGAAGCAGCCCCUGAAGCCAGCUGGAAGAUAUGAAAACCGAAUCCCCACAAGGGAGAACUACUUGCUCAAGAUCACACAGAAAUGAUGGCUAAACCAUACAGAACCAAGGGCUUCUGACCACUAGUCCAAAGCCUAUUCUGCUUGGCACAGAGACCAAGAACAUUCACCUUGGGAACUGAUACAAUCUGAGCAUCCUCAAACUCUACUCACCCACAGGAAGACGUGAACACUCUAUAAUUCCAAAUAUUCUCCAAUAGACACCUUUCCUUUUUACCCAAAUUGCAAGCACUUCAAAAGAAAGGAUUGUGGCUUGACUACUUUGGACUUUUCAUUGUAUGCCACACAUUGUCCUUCAAGUUCUUAAGGGCAGAAAUUAUUGCCUAUAACACCUUGGAUUAAUAAGGGUAGGGGUGCCGGGUGGCUCAGGUCAUGAUCUCAUGGUUCGUGAGUUUGAGCCCCAUGUGGGGCUCUGUGGUGACAGCUCAGAGCCUGGAGCCUUCUUC